UACGGGGGGGGGGCAAGCGUUUGUUCGGAUUCACUGGGCGUAAAGGGUGCGUAGGCGGUCGGGUAAGUCUGAUGUGAAAUCUCACAGCUUAACUGUGAAACUGCAUUGGAUACUAUUCGGCUUGAGAGUUGGAGGGGGGACUGGAAUUCUUGGUGUAGCAGUGAAAUGCGUAGAUAUCAAGAGGAACACCAGUGGCGAAGGCGAGUCCCUGGACAACUUCUGACGCUGAGGCACGAAAGCUAGGGGAGCAAACAGG
rnacentral:rRNA from 1 species